rnacentral:rRNA from 1 species
GAUUAACGCUAGCGGCAGGCCUAAUACAUGCAAGUCGAGGGGCAGCAGGGUGUAGCAAUACAUCGCUGGCGACCGGCGCACGGGUGCGUAACACGUAUGCAACCUACCUUUAACUGGGGAAUAGCCCUCCGAAAGGAGGAUUAACACCGCAUAACAUCACGAGACGGCAUCGCCUUGUGAUCAAACCUCCGGGGGUUAAAGAUGGGCAUGCGUCCGAUUAGCUAGUUGGCGGGGUAACGGCCCACCAAGGCGACGAUCGGUAGGGGGUCUGAGAGGAUGAUCCCCCACACUGGUACUGAGACACGGACCAGACUCCUACGGGAGGCAGCAGUAAGGAAUAUUGGACAAUGGUCGCAAGACUGAUCCAGCCAUGCCGCGUGCAGGAUGAACGAUCUAUGAUCUGUAAACUGCUUUUUGUUCGGGAAUAAACCCCUUCACGUGUGGAGGGCUGAAUGUACCGAAGAAUAGGGUCGGCUAACUUCGUGCCAGCAGCCGC